GCUUACGGCCAUACCACCCUGAACACGCCCGAUCUCGAUCUCGAAGCUAAGCAGGGUCGGGCCUGGUUAGUACUUGGAUGGGAGACCGCCUGGGAAUACCAGGUGCUGUAAGCU
rnacentral:rRNA from 1 species